rnacentral:sRNA from 1 species
CUCUUUGCUAUCUGAGAUUUAUUGCCUA